CGCUUUUGCGGAUUUCUUCGGAUUGAAGCAACUGUGACUGAGCGGCGGACGGGUGAGUAACGCGUGGGUAACCUACCUCAUACAGGGGGAUAACAGUUGGAAACGGACUGCUAAUACCGCAUAAGCGCACAGUACCGCAUGGUACCGUGUGAAAAACUCCGGUGGUUAUAGAUGGACCCGCGUCUGAUUAGGUAGUUGGUGGGGUAACGGCCUACCAAGCCGACGAUCAGUAGCCGACCUGAGAGGGUGACCGGCCACAUUGGGACUGAGACACGGCCCAAACUCC
rnacentral:rRNA from 1 species